rnacentral:lncRNA from 1 species
UUGUAAAUCAACCAUAAAGGUAGCAACAUCAUUUUUCCUAGCUUCUAGAUGGAACACAAAGACUAAUAGAGGUGGUUUCAUCAUUUAUCAAUUUUCCACUAUUUAUCAUGCACUUAGCAAUAUUAACAUAGCAAGUGAGAUUUAAGUAUAAAACAAUAUGAACAUCAUGGAUGCCACUAACACAAGUUGUAGAUUUGAAGCAUGCAUGUUGAAAGGAAACUAACAAAUGUGGUUUCACCAUUUUUAGAGCUCUACGUGACUUAUAAAGCAUUUAAUGGCCUCCACACAAAAUAAAUCAUAGCACAAAAUAUAAAACAACAACAUGCACAUACUCAACUCUGAAAUACACUAGACCUCACAAGGAAUCCAACAAAACAAGAAUCACGUUUUUAUUUUCUAUGCAUUUUGCAAGUUUGCAACAAUUUAGAUCUAGUGAUUUUAAUCAAACCGAAAGUAUUUUGCAAUCUACCGCUGGUAAAACAUUUUCCUACUCAGAUCCGCCCUUCUCUUACAUUCAACCCCUUGUGUUUUGAGCUUAGGUCCCUGGGAACAUUCCCACCUCACCCAUAAAACCAUCCCUUUUAUGCCGAACCCCCCUGGAGUUCUAUUUCUCUCACAACCAUGUCCUUCACCUUCUUCAACCUCCA